rnacentral:lncRNA from 1 species
CACCAUAAAAAAUGACUUUACAAGAAAAUAUAGCUCUUGACCUCAACAUGAAAGUUGUUUGGAAUGUAAAAAGGAGUAACCUUUCUCUUGGAAUCAUUUUCAUAUGACAAAAAGUGUAGGAGAUAGGGUCUAGGGAACCCCAAUUUUGACUAGUUGACUUUCUCUGGUCAACCACCAUGAACCAACUUGAAAAAUUGAAGU